rnacentral:rRNA from 1 species
UACGUAGGGUGCAAGCGUUGUCCGGAAUUAUUGGGCGUAAAGAGCGUGUAGGCGGCCAUGCAGGUCCGUUGUGAAAACUCGAGGCUCAACCUCGAGACGCCGAUGGAAACCGUGUGGCUAGAGUCCGGAAGAGGAGAGUGGAAUUCCUGGUGUAGCGGUGAAAUGCGCAGAUAUCAGGAAGAACACCCGUGGCUAAGGCGGCUCUCUAGUACGGUACUGACGCUGAGACGCGAAAAGCGUGGGGAGCGAACAGG